rnacentral:tRNA from 2 species
GUCCCUGUAGUUCAGUUGCAUAGAACAUCUCACUUCUAAUGAGAAAGUCGCAGGUUGGAGCCCUGCCAGGGAUACA